rnacentral:rRNA from 1 species
UCAUCUUCGGGGGUAGAGCACUGUUUCGGCUAGGGGGUCAUCCCGACUUACCAACCCGAUGCAAACUACGAAUACCGAAGAAUGUUAUCACGGGAGACACACGGCGGGUGCUAACGUCCGUCGUGAAGAGGGAAACAACCCAGACCGCCAGCUAAGGUCCCAAAGUCAUGGUUAAGUGGGAAACGAUGUGGGAAGGCCCAGACAGCCAGGAUGUUGGCUUAGAAGCAGCCAUCAUUUAAAGAAAGCGUAAUAGCUCACUGGUCGAGUCGGCCUGCGCGGAAGAUGUAACGGGGCUAAACCAUGCACCGAAGCUGCGGCAGCGACGCUUAUGCGUUGUUGGGUAGGGGAGCGUUCUGUAAGCCGUUGAAGGUGGCCUGUGAGGGUUGCUGGAGGUAUCAGAAGUGCGAAUGCUGACAUAAGUAACGAUAAUGCGGGUGAAAAACCCGCACGCCGGAAGACCAAGGGUUCCUGUCCAACGUUAAUCGGGGCAGGGUGAGUCGACCCCUAAGGCGAGGCCGAAAGGCGUAGUCGAUGGGAAACAGGUUAAUAUUCCUGUACUUGGUGUUGCUGCGAAGGGGGGACGGAGAAGGCUAUGUUGGCCGGGCGACGGUUGUCCCGGUUUAAGCAUGUAGGCGGAUGUUCCAGGUAAAUCCGGAACGUUAUUAACGCUGAGGUGUGAUGACGAGGCACUACGGUGCUGAAGUGACAAAUGCCCUGCUUCCAGGAAAAGCCUCUAAGCAUCAGGUAACAUCAAAUCGUACCCCAAACCGACACAGGUGGUCAGGUAGAGAAUACCAAGGCGCUUGAGAGAACUCGGGUGAAGGAACUAGGCAAAAUGGUGCCGUAACUUCGGGAGAAGGCACGCUGAUGGUAGGUGAAGUGACUUGCUCGUGGAGCUGAAAUCAGUCGAAGAUACCAGCUGGCUGCAACUGUUUAUUAAAAACACAGCACUGUGCAAACACGAAAGUGGACGUAUACGGUGUGACGCCUGCCCGGUGCCGGAAGGUUAAUUGAUGGGGUUAUCCUCGCGGAGAAGCUCUUGAUCGAAGCCCCGGUAAACGGCGGCCGUAACUAUAACGGUCCUAAGGUAGCGAAAUUCCUUGUCGGGUAAGUUCCGACCUGCACGAAUGGCGUAAUGAUGGCCAGGCUGUCUCCACCCGAGACUCAGUGAAAUUGAACUCGCUGUGAAGAUGCAGUGUACCCGCGGCAAGACGGAAAGACCCCGUGAACCUUUACUAUAGCUUGACACUGAACACUGGUCCUUGAUGUGUAGGAUAGGUGGGAGGCUUUGAAGUGUGGACGCCAGUCUGCAUGGAGCCGUCCUUGAAAUACCACCCUUUAAUGGCUGGUGUUCUAACGUGGGCCCGUAAUCCGGGUUGCGGACAGUGUCUGGUGGGUAGUUUGACUGGGGCGGUCUCCUCCUAAAGAGUAACGGAGGAGCACGAAGGUCAGCUAAUCCUGGUCGGACAUCAGGAGGUUAGUGCAAUGGCAUAAGCUGGCUUGACUGCGAGCGUGACGGCGCGAGCAGGUGCGAAAGCAGGUCAUAGUGAUCCGGUGGUUCUGAAUGGAAGGGCCAUCGCUCAACGGAUAAAAGGUACUCCGGGGAUAACAGGCUGAUACCGCCCAAGAGUUCAUAUCGACGGCGGUGUUUGGCACCUCGAUGUCGGCUCAUCACAUCCUGGGGCUGAAGUAGGUCCCAAGGGUAUGGCUGUUCGCCAUUUAAAGUGGUACGCGAGCUGGGUUUAGAACGUCGUGAGACAGUUCGGUCCCUAUCUGCCGUGGGCGCUGGAGAAUUGAGGGGGGCUGCUCCUAGUACGAGAGGACCGGAGUGGACGCAUCACUGGUGUUCGGGUUGUCAUGCCAAUGGCAUUGCCCGGUAGCUAAAUGCGGAAGAGAUAAGUGCUGAAAGCAUCUAAGCACGAAACUUGCCCCGAGAUGAGUUCUCCCUGACUCUUUGAGGGUCCUGAAGGAACGUUGAAGACGACGACGUUGAUAGGCCGGGUGUGUAAGCGCAGCGAUGCGUUGAGCUAACCGGUACUAAUGAACCGUGAGGCUUAACCUU